rnacentral:sRNA from 1 species
AAAAAGUUUAUGUACCGAAGACAGUAAGUGUUUUUAAACUUAAUAUCUUACCGAGGACAAUACUUAUUACUUAUAUAUAAUAGGUCUUUGUUCUUAGUACAAAGACUUUUUUAAUUAA